GCCACUUGGCACUCAUCUAUGGACGGAUUCAGUAGAGGCCAAAGAUGAUAGCUAUUAGGAGAAAAUUCGCACAUGCUGAAAAUGUAAAGAAGCCUAAGGCCCAGAACAGUCAGGCCCAAUUCCUGAAAGGUUGAAACCAUGGCCAGCUUGUGAUCAGCCUAUGCUUGAGUAAAACUACCACUGACCUUCAGCUUACAUCGCCUAGGCGAAAGCUGAUAUCGAGGAUUCGUCGGCAAAACUUGAUGAG
rnacentral:lncRNA from 1 species